UACGUAGGCAGCAAGCGUUGUUCGGAAUUACUGGGCGUAAAGAGUGUGUAGGCGGUGCUCUAAGUUCGGUGUGAAAUCUCCCGGCUUAACUGGGAGGGUGCGCCGGAAACUGGAGUGCUCGAGCGUGGGAGAGGAAAGCGGAAUUCCUGGUGUAGCGGUGAAAUGCGUAGAUAUCAGGAGGAACACCUGCGGCGUAGACGGCUUUCUGGACCAUUGCUGACGCUGAGACACGAAAGCGUGGGUAGCAAACAGG
rnacentral:rRNA from 1 species